UGUAUCUUAAACGACGUUAGCCCUACCUCUCUAACAUCCUUACGGCUCCGAAGCCGAUCCAGUGUGAGUAAGUGUUACGAAAUUCAU
rnacentral:sRNA from 1 species